rnacentral:rRNA from 1 species
AGCGAACGCUGGCGGCAGGCUUAACACAUGCAAGUCGAGCGGGCGUAGCAAUACGUCAGCGGCAGACGGGUGAGUAACGCGGGGGGACGUACCUUUUGGUUCGGAACAACACAGGGAAACUUGUUCUAAUACCGGAUAAGCCCUUACGGGGAAAGAUGUAUCGCCGAAAGAUCGGCCCGUGUCUGAUUAGCUAGUUGGUGAGGUUACGGCUCACCAAGGCGACGAUGAGUAGCUGGGCUGAGAGGAUGAUCAGCCACAUUGGGGCUGAGACGCGGACCAAACUCCUACGGAAGGGAGCAGUGGGGAAUAUUGGACAAUGGGGGCAACCAUGACCCAGCCAUGCCGGGUGAGUGAUGAAGGCCGUAGGGUUGUAAAGCUCUUUUGUGCGGGAAGAUAAUGACGGUACCGCAAGAAUAAGCCCCGGCUAACUUCGUG